rnacentral:other from 1 species
AGUAACCUGAGAUGUGCGAUAACUCUUGUUUAUUUUGAACCUACAUUUCUUUAAACGGGAUUCCUAUAUCGUCAGGCGGCUGUCAAGCCCUCACUCCGUUCCUGCGGAGGAUUGGAAGGGAAGGCAAAAACCUUGGCUGCGGUCACCCACCUAGCAUUGCUAGGAGUCAGAAAGCAAGGGGCGGCAUUUCGGGUAUUUA